GCACCUGUAGCUCAAUUGGAAGAGCAACACACUCCUAACGUGUAGGUUGUCGGUUCGAUUCCGGCCGGGUGCG
rnacentral:tRNA from 1 species